rnacentral:rRNA from 1 species
UCCUACGGGGGGCAGCAGUGAGGAAUAUUGGUCAAUGGCCGGAAGGCUGAACCAGCCAAGCCGCGUGAAGGACGAAGGUGCCAAGCAUUGUAAACUUCUUUUGUCAAGGGACAAAAUCAGGCUCGAGAGCCUGACCGAGGGUACUUGAAGAAAAAGCAUCGGCUAACUCCGUGCCAGCAGCCGCGGUAAUACGGAGGAUGCGAGCGUUAUCCGGAUUUAUUGGGUUUAAAGGGUGUGUAGGCGGACUGUUAAGUGAGGGGUAAAAGAUUGGGGCU